rnacentral:rRNA from 1 species
AUUGAACGCUGGCGGCAGGCCUAACACAUGCAAGUCGAGCGAGCGGCGGACGGGUGAGUAAUGUCUGGGAAACUGCCUGAUGGAGGGGGAUAACUACUGGAAACGGUCGCUAAUACCGCAUACCAUCAGAUGUGCCCAGAUGGGAUUAGCUAGUAGGUUGGGUAACGGCUCACCUAGGCGACGAUCCCUAGCUGGUCUGAGAGGAUGACCAGCCACAAUGGAACUGAGACACGUGCCAGAAUCCUACGGGAGGCAGCAGUGGGGAAUAUUGCACAAUGGGCGCAAGCCUGAUGCAGCCAUGCCGAGUGUGUGAAGAAGGCCUUCGGGUUGUAAAGCACUUUCAGCGGGGAGGCGUUACCCGCAGAAGAAGCACCGGCUAACUCCGUGCCAGCAGCCGCGGUAAUUC